UGGCUCAGACGGUAAAGCAUCUGUCUAUGAUGCAGGAGACCCAGGUUCGAUCCCUGG
rnacentral:tRNA from 1 species